rnacentral:tRNA from 1 species
UGGGGUGUGGCUCAGUGGCAGAGUGCUUGCAUAGCAUGUGUGAGACUCUGGGUUUGAGUCUCAGCACCACAU